UACGGAGGGGACUAGCGUUGUUCGGAAUUACUGGGCGUAAAGCGCACGUAGGCGGAUUUGUAAGUCAGGGGUGAAAUCCCGGGGCUCAACCUCGGAACUGCCUUUGAUACUGCAAAUCUCGAGUCCGGAAGAGGUGAGUGGAAUUCCUAGUGUAGAGGUGAAAUUCGUAGAUAUCGGGAGGAACACCAGUAGCGAAGGCGGUUCUCUGGGCCGGCACUGACGCUGAGGAGCGAAAGCGUGGGGAGCAAACAGG
rnacentral:rRNA from 1 species